rnacentral:rRNA from 1 species
AUGAACGCUGGCGGCGUGCCUAAUACAUGCAAGUCGAGCGAAUGGAUUGAGAGCUUGCUCUUAUGAAGUUAGCGGCGGACGGGUGAGUAACACGUGGGUAACCUGCCCAUAAGACUGGGAUAACUCCGGGAAACCGGGGCUAAUACCGGAUAAUAUUUUGAACUGCAUGGUUCGAAAUUGAAAGGCGGCUUCGGCUGUCACUUAUGGAUGGACCCGCGUCGCAUUAGCUAGUUGGUGAGGUAACGGCUCACCAAGGCAACGAUGCGUAGCCGACCUGAGAGGGUGAUCGGCCACACUGGGACUGAGACACGGCCCAGACUCCUACGGGAGGCAGCAGUAGGGAAUCUUCCGCAAUGGACGAAAGUCUGACGGAGCAACGCCGCGUGAGUGAUGAAGGCUUUCGGGUCGUAAAACUCUGUUGUUAGGGAAGAACAAGUGCUAGUUGAAUAAGCUGGCACCUUGACGGUACCUAACCAGAAAGCCACGGCUAACUACGUGCCAGCAGCCGCGGUAAUACGUAGGUGGCAAGCGUUAUCCGGAAUUAUUGGGCGUAAAGCGCGCGCAGGUGGUUUCUUAAGUCUGAUGUGAAAGCCCACGGCUCAACCGUGGAGGGUCAUUGGAAACUGGGAGACUUGAGUGCAGAAGAGGAAAGUGGAUUCC